rnacentral:piRNA from 1 species
UCUGAGAGACCGGUUGACAAAGCAGGAGUU